rnacentral:misc_RNA from 1 species
UUUCCUUUUUUUUUUUUUUUUUAGCUUUGCUUUCCUUUUAUUUAAAAGAUACAUAUAUAUUGGAACAAAAUAUGUACUGGUUUUAGUAGGGUGAGAGAUUUCGGUUUUAACCCAAAAAGCAAACAAAUCUAAUUUGGUUUUUCAGUUCGUUUUGUCAGUCUAUCAGUUCAAUUUGGGUUAUUGUUUUUGAAGAAAAUUGGUUAAUUGGUUCAGCUUGGAUAGUGAGAUUAAAAUAACUGAACUAACCGAACCAAGUAAACUUUUCAACCUCCUGUGCUAUGUUUUUCUUCACUCUUAUAUAGCUGUUUUAUUUUAAGUGUAGUCUCUCCCAAUCCCUCUAGUUCUCACGCUAGAAGAAGGCAACCUUCCUUUCCUAAUUCCCAUCUACCUUAAUCCCUCUCAUAUCAGUUUUCACACUACAAAAAAGACAACCCACACCAGAUCUGCCCCCUAAUUUUUCUUCCUUUCCUAAUUCUUCUUC